rnacentral:rRNA from 1 species
AUGAUCAAAACCCUUGUUGCCUACAACUGGAGAAUGCUAGGUCCAAUGCUUGCAUAUCCAACAUACUAUAUGUACCACAGGCUCACUAUUUGUAACGCCCCGAGCCCGAUGUGCCAGGUGUCCUCCAGUUUUUUGCUGUUGUUGCCUUGUCAUUGUUUGCGUGUCAUGCAUUGCAUAUCAUGUGCAUCGCAUUUGCAUACAUGUUCGUCUCAUGCAUCUGAGCAUUUUUCCCGUUGUCCGUUUUGCAAUCCGGCGCUCCUAUGUCUCCCGGUGUCCCUUUCUACCUCUUUUCGUGUGCGAGCGGUAAACAUUUUCGGAUUGGACCGAAACUUGUCAUGCGGCCUUGGUUUACUACCGGUAGACCGCCUGUCAAGUUUCGUGUCAUUUGGACUUCGUUUGAUACUCCAACGGUUAACCGGGUAG